CCUACGGGAGGCAGCAGUAGGGAAUAUUGCACAAUGGAGGAAACCCUGAUGCAGCGACGCCGCGUGAGCGAUGAAGUAUUUCGGUAUGUAAAGCUCUAUCAGCAGGGAAGAAAAUGACGGUACCUGACUAAGCAGCCCCGGCUAACUACGUGCCAGCAGCCGCGGUCAUACGUAGGGGGCAAGCGUUAGCCGGAUUUACUGGGUGUAACGGGAGCGUGGACGGUCCUGCAAGCAAGAUGUGAAAGCCCGGGGCUCAACCCCGGGACUGCAUUUGGAACUGUAAGGCUAGAGUGUCGGAGAGGCAGGCGGAAUGCCUAGUGUAGCGGUGAAAUGCGUAGAUAUUAGGAGGAACACCAGUGGCGAAGGCGGCCUGCUGGACGAUGACUGACGUUGAGGCUCGAAAGCGUGGGGAGCAAACAGGAUUAGAUACCCCAGUAGUC
rnacentral:rRNA from 1 species